rnacentral:tRNA from 1 species
AAGAAAGUGGCAGAAUGGCUAUGCGACUGGCUUGAAACCAGUCUAUGGGGGUUCGAAUCCUUCCUUUCUCG